AUGUGCACACACACGUGCCGGCCUCUGGCACUCACGGGACAGGUGCAGCUGCAGCCUGAGCCACACCUCACCUGUCUGCAGGUGCACAGGAACCCCUGGUGUCUAGCGUGGGGGGAGGCAGGAGCCACGGCCGCAGCCCCCAAGGCAGGGCAGCCUGCCCCUGGCGGUACGGGUGCACCUGCCACAGCCGGUGGGGGGAGGUGCUGGCCCACCUGGUCCGAGACAGCCGAGCGGCACAGCCACGCAGGACACUGGAGCGACCCACGCAGGGCAGCGCUCCCACCUCCCCGCCCUCCUCGGACCCAAGGCUUCCCAGCGCCGGCCACGGCUGCCAGCCACGGCCGGGCCCUGUGCGAGGUCACGCGGCGCCGGGCGGUGUCCCUGACCUUCACUCAUAAGACGCCGGCAGGGGGCUGCGGGGGCCGCAGCCACUUGGACGCUGCUGGGGAAGCCCGCCUCCCACAUGGGAGGGCCCAGGUUCGAAUCCCAGCGCUGCUCCCUGCUGAUGCCCACCCUGGAGGCAGCAGGGGACCAGGGCUCGAGCGCUUGGGCCCCCGCCACCCACGCGGGAGACCUGCUCCGAGCUCCUGGCUCCCGGCUUCCACCUGGGAAGGGACGGGAGCGCUCGGUCUCUCUCUCCAACAAAUAAAUAAACAAACAGAUGCUAUGUUUUGGCAUCCUCGGGUCAUGACAGGAUGGCCCAGAGUCCUCUGGGGGCAGUCACCGCCCAGGCGAGAACCCUCUGGGCCUAAAGAUUCACCAUCUGUUGGCUCCGCCCAUGGCCGGGAUCAGGUUACAGGAAGGCCACGGGGCGAGGGGAGGGGGCCCAGGGCCAGACGCGGCCAUCGGCGGAGUACUACUCAGCCAGGACAAGGGCUGAGGCCCGGCACCUGCUACGGCACGGAGGGACCGGAGAACCUGACAUCGACAGACCGCGUACAGGGGCCGCGCUGUGCCGCAGCGGCUUCCGGGGACGCAGGUUCGAGUCCCGGCCGCUCCACUUCCGGUCCCGCUCCCUGCUGUGGCCUGGGAAAGCAGCAGCGAUGGCCGAGCCCUGGGGCCCCUGCACCUGCGUGGGAGACCCGGAUAGAGCUCCUGGCUUCGGCCUGGCCCAGCCCCGGCCGCUGCGGCCGUUUGGGGAGUGACCCAGCGGAUGGAGGACCUCUCCCUCUCUCUCUCUCUCUCUCUCAACUCUGCCUUUCAUGUAAAGAAAUCAAAAACAAAGACAGAACUGUACCCUUUAAAUAA
rnacentral:lncRNA from 1 species